UGGGGAAUAUUGGACAAUGGGCGCAAGCCUGAUCCAGUCAUGCCGCGUGUGUGAAGAAGGCCUUUUGGUUGUAAAGCACUUUAAGCGAGGAGGAGGCUACUUGGAUUAAUACUCUAGGAUAGUGGACGUUACUCGCAGAAUAAGCACCGGCUAACUCUGUGCCAGCAGCCGCGGUAAUACAGAGGGUGCGAGCGUUAAUCGGAUUUACUGGGCGUAAAGCGUGCGUAGGCGGCUUCUUAAGUCGGAUGUGAAAUCCCUGAGCUUAACUUAGGAAUUGCAUUCGAUACUGGGAAGCUAGAGUAUGGGAGAGGAUGGUAGAAUUCCAGGUGUAGCGGUGAAAUGCGUAGAGAUCUGGAGGAAUACCGAUGGCGAAGGCAGCCAUCUGGCCUAAUACUGACGCUGAGGUACGAAAGCAUGGGGAGCAAACAGG
rnacentral:rRNA from 2 species